rnacentral:lncRNA from 7 species
GGCAGCGCGGCGCCGGAGCAGCCCUGCGCGGGGCAGGCGGCGGCGAAGGCGCAGGACGGGGCGGCGGGGGCCGGGGCCAGCUCGGCGGGCGGCGGGAACAGGCGGCAGGGCGCGGCGGGGCGCUCGGCGAGGAAGGCCGGGUAGGUGGAGAGGUCGCUGCGUUUGAAGCGCUUCCUGCGGCGAAGGAAGCUGCCGCUCUCGAACAUGUCUCGGGCGUGCGGGUCGAGCGUCCAGUAGUUGCCCUUGCCGGGGCGGCCGGGUUCCCGCGGCACCUUGACGAAGCAGUCGUUGAGGGGGUUACACCAGCCAAGUUCAGACAGAGCAGCACUGGAGUUUUGACAGAACUCACGGCUAUUUGCAGCCAGGUUUCUCCAUCAAGGACAACAUGGUAGGUGAGGGUGAAAGCAGAAUUCCUGCCUAAAUACGUGGGCAGGGAGAAGGGAGGCUGGGUUUCCUGGAGCAAUGCUGGACAUAGAGAUUGCUCUCCUCUGCGCUGCUUAACUAUUUCAGCUUGCUUUCUUCACCUGAAAUCUUCGCAUGUGUAUUCAGCAAGUUGUUGAACAGUGGCCCAAGAGCAGCCAUCUCCAGCAUGUGGAUUGGAGAGGGUCAUUUUCCCACUGUUUUUAAAAAACAUCUCUAUCUCUAAGAUAAAAAUGUUGGUGUGGUAACAGCAAAAUGCAGAGGUGCCAUGAAGUCACAGAGUGGCUUUUCUGGUACUUGUUUAUAGUCGGGAUACAGCACUUGCAGAAAGAUUGUCCUCACUUGAGGUGGUAGAAGUAUUGCUGAAACACUGGGAAGUAUGACCCCCUAUGAUGUUUUGAGGGAGCUUAUUGAUGGAGUGGCCAAAACAUUAAUGGCAAUGCUACUGCCUUUCAGCCAAAGCCAGUCCUGUUCUGCAGGCCACGAGGGGAGGAACACUGUUGGUCUGUACAGGCAAGCUGAGACCUAGUAGACCUUCUGGUGCCUACACUUGGCAUGCAGUGAAGCACUGAGGUCCCUGUGCCCAGGCUUCUGCAGAGAGCAGCGGUGUCCCCAGCUACUCAGACUUCAUGAAGCACGUGUUGCUGUCAGGGCAGCUGCAAAAGGCAGCAACAUGUGGGAGGUGUAAGGCGACCCAGGAUCUGAUGUGGACCCUUCUCCGUUAUCUGUCGGGGCUUAGGCCAGCCGAGGCUGGCAUAUGCACCCAGUGAGGCUGCGACUGCUUUCUUCAGCCUGGCCAGCCUGAGGGCAGCCCCACCUUGCAGGCACAUUCCCCUGCGGAUUAGCCCUGCAGGGAGUGUAGUGCCAUAGGAAUGUCCUCCCGGUGCAACCCGAAACCCACAGUGUGUUGCAGCCUGAAAAACUGGAUGGGUUGUAGCCCUCAGUGUUGUGUUGGAAUUCUUCACGAUGAGGAUGCUGAGACAGUGGCACAGGCUGGAUGGGGCCCUUGCCUCAUCGGGUGGGGGGCAACCAGCCCAUGGCAGGAGGGUUGGAUCAAAUGAUGUUUAAGGUUCCCUCCAACUCAGGCAAUUCUGUGAUUCUGUAAUUCUAUGAUUCUCGACUCAGAUCCUGGAGGAGAUGACUGGAGGGAUGGUCACCACUUGUCUUUCAAGGUCUGGAAUGCUUCUUGGCUGCUCCAGCACCGGAUGAGGUCACUGCCAGCACACCUGCAUUCAUCUCCUGCUACUUUCUGCCACUGUCUGUGGCUUUGAGGCCUAAUGCUGCUACAAAGCAAGCUGAAAAAUGGGUUUUCAUUUCAACACUUCGGGGAUUGAGCCCUCCCUUCUACACUGAUUGAGCUGCGCGACACAGCUGGUCUAGCACGGGAGUAAACCUUGUUCACGUAAGAUAUAUGUGCUGUUCUACUCCCUUUCAUACACAGCCUCUGGAGAAAGAGAAUCGUUGCUCUGAUCAGAAAAGCAACAUCAGCUCAUGUUGCCACUGGAGGUCUGACC